GUCGUAUUUUUGGCUUGUGAUCCUCUCCUGACUUAUAUUUGGGUAAUGUGGAUGGCUUGAUAUGCAAAAAGAGAAGUGAUGUUCUUCUGGUGGUUCUCCAGUGGGAUCUGGAUACGAAUCUUCAGUGCAUCUUCUCGGUUUGCUGCGGAACUUCCUAUUUUAAUUUGGCAACUUGUAAAAUAAGUCUCGCUAAAUUUGAUGACUACUGCUGAUUGUAUACUUUUCAACUCAAGUAGCUUGUACAUGUCAGUUUCAUUCAUGCUGGAUAUUCUCAUUCA